rnacentral:lncRNA from 1 species
UGGGGUUCAUCAUAAUCUUAGACAUAAUACGAUGUAGCUAAAAUGAUGAAUCAAUACUUCAUGUUAUUAUCAAAUAAUAAAUAUCAUUAUAUGAGUUGAAAAAUUAUAAAAAAAAUUUUUCAUCGCAACAUACUUACAAUUAGCUCUUAAGGCACUCUUCUUUUAAUCUCCCACUUACACUAAAGCCAAUCACCUUUGUAUUUCAAUUCCAUACAAUCAAGAUGGCGAUCAAAUAGCUGCUGUGGUAUGGCCUUAGUGA